AAGUCGUAACAAGGUUUCCGUAGGUGAACCUGCGGAAGGAUCAUUAAUGAGUUAGGGUCUCCGGGCCCGACCUCCAACCCUUUGUUGUCACAAAACCAAUUGUUGCUUUGGCGUGGACCGCCCGCGAGGGCUGCCGGUCUUAGGCCCGGCAUGCGCCCACCAGAGGAAAGCCAAACUCUUGUUUAUCAAACCGUACGUCUGAGUAAAAAUGAUUAAAUCAAUCAAAA
rnacentral:misc_RNA from 1 species